CCGACCCCAUAACCCCAAUUCCCCCUCACCUCCCCCUCGGGCUCCAGGAAGCUCCACCCCCCCUGCUCGAAGAAACCUUCGGGGUCGUCCACGAUGGUCUUCAUGAUUUUGGUCCAGUUGAGGGACUGCACCCCUUCCGUGUACUUCAGGUCGCAGGAGCUGCGGGGACAGCGACCCCAAAACCGUUUUUGGGGGAAAAUCCGGGCAUUUCGGGGUCCCGCGCGACAAAGGGAUGAAAAAUAAUAAUGAUAAUUAAAAAAAAUACGGCGUUUUUGGGGCUGCGGAAUGCAGAGAUUUGGGGUUUUUUCGGGGGGUGUUUGGAAUCCCAAAGGUUUGGGGAAUGGAAAUCCCAAAGUUUGGGGUUUUGGGGGUCUUCAGAAUCCCAAAUUUUGGGGUUUUGGGGUCUUUGGAUUCCCAAAGUAUGGGGUUUUUGGGAAAUGGAAAUCCCAAAGUUUGGGGUUUUGGGGGUCUUCAGAAUCCCAAAUUUUGGGGUUUUGGGGUCUUUGGAUUCCCAAAGUAUGGGGUUUUUGGGAAAUGGAAAUCCCAAAGUUUGGGGUUUUGGGGGUCUUCAGAAUCCCAAAUUUUGGGGUUUUGGGGUCUUUGGAUUCCCAAAGUAUGGGGUUUUUGGGAAAUGGAAAUCCCAAAGUUUGGGGUUUUGGGGGUCUUCAGAAUCCCAAAUUUUGGGGUUUUGGGGUCUUUGGAUUCCCAAAGUAUGGGGUUUUUGGGAAAUGGAAAUCCCAAAGUUUGGGGUUUUGGGGGUCUUCAGAAUCCCAAAUUUUGGGGUUUUGGGGUCUUUGGAUUCCCAAAGUAUGGGGUUUUUGGGAAAUGGAAAUCCCAAAGUUUGGGUUUUUUGGGGUCUUUGGAAUUCCAAAGUUUGGGGUUUUGGGGUCUCUGGAAUCCCAAAUUUUAGAGUAUUGGGGUCAUUGGAAUCCCAAAGUGUUGGGAAAAGGAAAUCCCAAAGUUUGGGGUUUUUGGGGUCAUCGGAAUCCCAAAGUUUGAGGUUUUGGGGUCAUUGGAAUUGCAAAUUUUGGGGUUUUGGGGUCUUUGGAAUCGCAAAUCUUGGGGGUUUUGGGGUUUUUGGAAUCCCAAAGCAUUGGGAAAUGGAAAUCCCAAAGUCCAGGGUUUUGGGGUCAUCAGAAUCCCAAAGUUUGGGGUCUUUGGAAUUCCAAAUUUGGGGUUUUGGGGUCUUCGGAAUCCCUAAUUUUGGGGUUUUUGGGUUCCCAAAUUUUGGAGUAUUUUUUGGGUCUUCAUAAUCCCACAUUUUUGCCUCUUCAGAAUCCCAAAUUUUGGGGUUUUGGGGUCUCUGGAUUCCCAAAGUUUGGGGGUUUUGGGGUUUUUGGAAUCCCAAAGCAUUGGGAAAUGGAAAUCCCAAAGUCCAGGGUUUUGGGGUCAUCAGAAUCCCAAAGUUUGGGGUCUUUGGAAUUCCAAAUUUGGGGUUUUGGGGUCUUCGGAAUCCCUAAUUUUGGGGUUUUUGGGUUCCCAAAUUUUGGAGUAUUUUUUGGGUCUUCAUAAUCCCACAUUUUUGCCUCUUCAGAAUCCCAAAUUUUGGGGUUUUGGGGUCUCUGGAUUCCCAAAGUUUGGGGGUUUUGGGGUUUUUGGAAUCCCAAAGCAUUGGGAAAUGGAAAUCCCAAAGUCCAGGGUUUUGGGGUCAUCAGAAUCCCAAAGUUUGGGGUCUUUGGAAUUCCAAAUUUGGGGUUUUGGGGUCUUCGGAAUCCCUAAUUUUGGGGUUUUUGGGUUCCCAAAUUUUGGAGUAUUUUUUGGGUCUUCAUAAUCCCACAUUUUUGCCUCUUCAGAAUCCCAAAUUUUGGGGUUUUGGGGUCUCUGGAUUCCCAAAGUUUGGGGGUUUUGGGGUUUUUGGAAUCCCAAAGCAUUGGGAAAUGGAAAUCCCAAAGUCCAGGGUUUUGGGGUCAUCAGAAUCCCAAAGUUUGGGGUCUUUGGAAUUCCAAAUUUGGGGUUUUGGGGUCUUCGGAAUCCCUAAUUUUGGGGUUUUUGGGUUCCCAAAUUUUGGAGUAUUUUUUGGGUCUUCAUAAUCCCACAUUUUUGCCUCUUCAGAAUCCCAAAUUUUGGGGUUUUGGGGUCUCUGGAUUCCCAAAGUUUGGGGGUUUUGGGGUUUUUGGAAUCCCAAAGCAUUGGGAAAUGGAAAUCCCAAAGUCCAGGGUUUUGGGGUCAUCAGAAUCCCAAAGUUUGGGGUCUUUGGAAUUCCAAAUUUGGGGUUUUGGGGUCUUCGGAAUCCCUAAUUUUGGGGUUUUUGGGUUCCCAAAUUUUGGAGUAUUUUUUGGGUCUUCAUAAUCCCACAUUUUUGCCUCUUCAGAAUCCCAAAUUUUGGGGUUUUGGGGUCUCUGGAUUCCCAAAGUUUGGGGUUUUCUGGGGGGUCUUUGGAAUCCCAAAGGUUUGGGGAAUGGAAAUCCCAAAGUUUGGGGUCUUUGGAAUUCCAAAUUUGGGGUUUUGGGGUCUUCGGAAUCCCUAAUUUUGGGGUUUUUGGGUUCCCAAAUUUUGGAGUAUUUUUUGGGUCUUCAUAAUCCCACAUUUUUGGCUCUUCGGAAUCCCAAAUUUUGUUUUUUUGGGUUCCCAAAUUUUGGAGUAUUUUUUGGGUCUUCAUAAUCCCACAUUUUUGCCUCUUCAGAAUCCCAAAUUUUGGGGUUUUUGGGUUCCCAAAUUUGGGAUUUUUUGGGGACUUCGAAAUCCCAAAUUUUGGGUUUUUUGGGUUCCUAAAUCUUAAUUUUUUGGGUUUUUUUGUGACUCCGAAACCCCAAACUUUGGGCUUUCUUCCUACCACCACCACCCCAACAUUUCCCAUCUCCAACCCCCCCGAAAAAAAUUUUCUCGGGAUGGAAAAACCGGGUGCGAAAAAACGACGAAAAAAAAAGCGGAUUUGGGGUUUUUUUGGGGGUCGACCCAAUUUUGGGUCUUUGGAUUCCCAAACUUUGUGGGUUUUUUGGGAUUUCAUAAUCCCACAUUUUGGGCUCUUCAGAAUCCCAAAUUUGGGGUUUUUUGGGUCUUCAUGAUCCCAAAGUUUUGGGUUUUUUUGGGGGUCUUCGUAAUCCCACAUUUUUGGCUCUUCAGAAUCCCAGAUUUUGGGGUUUUUUGGGCUCCCAAAUUUUGGGGUAUUUUUUGGGGACUACAAAAUCCCAAAUUUGGGGUUUUUUGGGUCUUCAUGAUCCCAAAGUUUUGGGUUUUUUUGGGGGUCUUCAUAAUCCCACCUUUUUGGCUCUUCAGAAUCCCAAAUUUGGGCUUUUUUGGGUCUUCAUAAUCCCACAUUUUUGGCUCUUCAGAAUCCCAAAUUUUGGGUUUUUGGGGUUCCCAAAUUUUGGGUUUUUUGGGGUUCCCAAAUCUUAGGGUUGUUUUGGGAUUUUUUCCUACCAUCACCACCCCAACCCAUCUCCAACCCCCCCGAAAAAAAUUUUCUCGGGAUGGAAAAAACCGGGUGCGAAAAAACGACGAAAAAAAAAGCGGAUUUGGGGUUUUUUUUGGGGUCGACCCACUUGAGCCACUCCUUGAUGGGGUCGAGGGAAGCCACGGGGAUGGCGUUGAUCAUCGUGACUUUUCGGCUGUAGUCUUUGUAGACGAUGACCAUGUCGAAGUUCUUCAGGUGGAACUGGACCCUCUCGAAGUGGAUCAGCUCCACCUCGUCCAACGUCACCACGAAAGGAGGCUUUUUUGGGGGUCAAAAAACCAAGUUUUUAGGGUUUUUUGUUAUUACUGUCGUUUUUACGCCCCUACCUCAACCCCAAAUCAUCCCAAAGCGAAGGGGGGAUUGAGGGUGGGAAAAAAAGGGAUUUCGAGGGGUUUUCUUGGCUCUGCUUUCACCCAAAUCCACAGAAAAUAAAAAAAUGGGGGCUCAACA
ensembl:lncRNA